CUGUGUCUCUGGCCUUGUCAGAUUCCCCUACGGCGUCGCGAGGCUCCCUCCCUCAGUUCCCGGCCCCUCCCACCUCCGCCGCGCCCUCCUCGGGGGCCGAGGGAUUCCCCUCGCGGCGCGCAGUUCCAUCCUUGGCCGCCCUGGACUAUAUUUCCCGGCGGGCCGAGCGGCCGGCGCCGUGGCUGCGGUCAGAUGACCGGGUCGCCUGACCCGCGUUGAGUCAGGGCCCGCGGGCGGGGAGGCGCUGGCCGCUGCACCUCGUCCUUGGCCCCUGCUCCCCUUCGCCCGUCCCUCAACCUGGGCAGCUACAUCUUUGGCGCGUCUCCGGGUGUCGGGCACUUCCCCACUCGGCUCGUACCCUUGGAAUGUCCUGACUUUGCCCGCGGGGAGAACUUCGGCUGCCUCGCUCGGGGUCUGCCGCGUCUGACCAUCUCAUUUCUUUCCCCAGGACUGUCAGCGAGUUCGUCCCGACGACAACUGACGGCCCUGGGCUGCUGCUGACCUCCGGCAGAGUUGAGACAAAAUGUCCCCGGAAUCUAAAAAGCUUUUCAAUAUCAUUAUUUUAGGAAUUGCCUUUAUGUUUAUGUUCACCGCCUUUCAAACUUGUGGAAAUGUGGCGCAAACUGUCAUCCGAAGCUUAAAUAGCACAGAUUUUCAUGGCAGUGGAUAUACCAGCCUGGCAAUUAUUUACGGAGUGUUUUCUGCUUCGAAUUUGAUUACACCAUCAGUGGUUGCCAUUGUAGGACCUCAACUCUCUAUGUUUGCUAGUGGUUUAUUUUACAGCAUGUACAUUGCCGUUUUUAUCCAGCCUUUCCCAUGGUCCUUCUAUACAGCCUCUGUUUUCAUUGGAAUUGCAGCUGCUGUACUUUGGACAGCACAAGGAAACUGCCUUACGAUAAAUUCAGAUGAGCACACUAUUGGGAGAAACAGUGGAAUUUUCUGGGCACUCUUACAGUCUAGCUUGUUCUUUGGAAAUCUCUACAUAUAUUUUGCUUGGCAAGGGAAAACGCAAAUAUCAGAGAGUGACCGAAGAACUGUGUUUAUUGCCCUGACAGUGAUUAGCCUUGUGGGGACAGUUCUUUUCUUUCUCAUUCAGAAACCAGAUUCUGGAAAUGUCCUGGGAGAAGAUGAAUCUUCUGAUGACCAAGACCUGGAAGUCAACGAGUCUGCCCCGAACACUAUGACAAAGGCAGUAGAUGCAUUUAAAAAGUCUGUUAAGUUAUGUGUCACCAAGGAGAUGCUCCUUCUCAGUAUUACAACUGCUUAUACAGGUCUGGAAUUGACUUUCAUCUCUGGUGUAUAUGGAACCUGUAUUGGUGCUGUAAAUAAAUUUGGAACAGAUGAGAAAAGCCUCAUUGGACUUUCUGGAAUUUUCAUUGGCAUUGGAGAAAUUUUAGGUGGCAGCCUCUUCGGCCUACUGAGCAAGAACAAUCGUUUUGGGAGAAAUCCAGUUGUGCUGUUGGGCAUCCUGGUGCAUUUUGUAGCUUUUUAUUUAAUAUUUCUCAACAUGCCUGGGGAUGCCCCUGUCGCCCCUGUUGGAGGAACUGACAGCAGUGCUUACAUCAAAUCCAGCAAAGAAGUUGCCAUCUUCUGCAGUUUCCUGCUGGGUCUUGGAGACAGCUGCUUCAACACCCAACUGCUUAGCAUUUUAGGUUUUCUCUAUUCUGAAGACAGUGCCCCAGCCUUUGCAGUCUUCAAGUUUGUUCAGUCCAUUUGUGCAGCUGUGGCAUUUUUCUACAGUAACUACCUUCUCCUUCAUUGGCAACUCCUGGUCAUGGUGAUCUUUGGGUUUUUGGGAACUGUUUCGUUCUUCGCUGUCGAGUGGGCUGCCACCAUUGUGGCCCGAGGCUCUGACUACCGAAGUAUUUGAUCCGGGGCAUCUGUGAGGUGGUAUGCAUUUCCAGACAGCACAGCCGAAGGACAGAACUUGGUUGAAGAAGCCACCUUUCAUUCUCACAGUAUAUUGGAUGAUAUUUAAUGUGGGAAAUCAGAGAAUUAAGACUGCUAAAUCUGCCAGAGUUGGUAUGCAAGUUUACAGAUAUUAGCUAUUUAAAACAAGUGGAAUAAGGGAAAUUUGUUCUGUCAAUUAUAAUCGUUUGAAGAUGUUGUUUUUCAGCUCAUCUAUCCCAAGUUCCCUGUAAUCAUGUUACAGAAGGUAAAUGUUUUCCUCCACCUCCUGUUCUCAUUGAGAGAUCCUGCCUUGAUUCAAAACACUAGGCCAUAUGUCAUAUAACUAUUCUUGCUGGGUGUGGAGUAUGUGUUACUAUGUAAUAACAGGAAGCAUAUGCCACUCCACAUAUGUGUCUGGGAAUGACAUUUAAAUAAAUCACAAGACGCUGAAGCAGAACACUAUAUUUGAAAAGAUACGCACUUUCUUCCUCUAUAGAUAUUUUGUUUAAUUUUCUUAUCUUGUUCAGAGCAAGGAGUGACUUAAGUAUUAUAAGAUGAGAUAAAAAUUGUCUUAAGUCUUAAGUCUUAAAAGCAGGAAUCUAAUACAUAUAAAUGAACAAAAACACACUUAAAAAAUAUAUACUAGGGGAGGAUUUUUGUUAGUAAUUUUCCAAAAGAUGCAAUGCAAGGCAAAAAAAAGUGAGAUCUGAGCUGUGGUAUCAGGCUGCUGUCGCAUAGCAGGUGCCAUUCCAUGUAUCUGGGAAUGGGGUGUAACUGGGGAGAUGUUUAAGUUGAAAUGUUAACUUUCCUCCAUAAGAGGUUUCUUAAAAUUCUUUUUUAAUUGACAUACAAUCCAGAAACCAUAAAAGUCACUAUUUUACAGUGUGCAACUUAGUGGUAUUUUCAGUAUAUUCACAAAGGUAUACAACUAUCACCUGGAUCUAAUUCCAGAACAUUUCGUCACUCCAAAAAGAAACCCCCUGCUGGACAGCAGUCAUUCCCCAUUGGCUGGCCUGGCCCUACUUUCUGUCUCUAUGUAUUUGCCUGUUUGGGACAUGUCACAUAAAUGGGAGAGCUCACUUUUAAAUGUGAUAUUUAACUGUACGCGUGAGUUUUAUGGCAAAGUACAUUUAAUCAUAGGACAAGCUAUACCUUGUUUUCCAUUGGUUUUUAAAAACCUGCUAGAAAUUUGGAAAUUUCAGUUGUCUUAAAAGUUCAAAAAAAUUCAGUAGUGUGUGAUUUUCAGACUUUGUGGCAAGUGCAGUCAGCUAGGAUCCUUAGAGAAAUUUCCUUCGUGUGGAGCACUAAACCCUUUUGUUGCAGGUUGUAAAGUUUUGGUUGUCUUUUUUGAAGUAGAGUAAACUGUUGUUAGCUGUUCCUAUAUAAAUAAUUUGCAAGUACUAUUUCAGAAUUAACAUCAGUGACUUUAUUGUCUCUCUAAGCACAUUAAUAUUUACCCAGGUAACACUGUAUAACAAAUUACCCCAAAACUUAGCCACUUAGGACAACACAUAUUUAUCAUCUCACACUGUCUGUGGGUCAGGAAUCUCGGGGUGGCUAGCCCGGGUCCUCUGCUCAGGGAAUGUCACGAGGCUGCAGUCAGGGUGUUGGCUGGGCUCAACUAGUGGGGGACCUGCUGUCCCACUCACUCAGGUGGCUGUUGGCAGGAAUCCGUUCCUCGUAGGCUGUUGGGCUAAGGGUUGUAACUUCUCAUGGCUGUUGGCUGAAGGCCACCCUCUGUGCCUUGUUACAUGGUGCUGUCCUCAGGGCAGCUCACAACGUGGCAGCUGCUUCAUCAAAGGAAGCAGGCCAUAAAAGCCAGAGAGUGAUAGCAAGACAGAAGUCACAGUCUUUGACACCUUAAUGUUGGGAAAGCGGCAUCCCAUCUUUUGUGUGUUCUCAUUGUUAGAUGCAAGUCACUAAUUCCAGGCCACACAAGGCAGUGAGCGCCAGAGUCCAGGGGCCUUGGUGUCAUCUUACAAGGGUGCUCAUCACACCAGACUUAACCUGUCUUACACUUAAGCUGAGAAGUGGGUCCUGUAGUCCCGCAUCCCUCAUUCUCUUAUUCUCUGAUUGUUCAUAAUGGAGCUGCAAAACACUAGGCUGGGAGAGGCUAGAAGGCUUCUGUUAAUGACCCUGAGUACUUUCCUCCAAAGAAGCCAUAGCAUCUUAGCACCACUUGUAGGAUUCCCGGUAACUCCUGUCAAAAGGGAAGUGCAAUGGAGUGAGGUGCAUGCAUGACUGCCGGACUGCCUCCCGCUGCUACAUGCUGUAUUAUUCACUUUAAGUUCUGUACUCAACGUUUUUUGUUCUAUAGGGUUUUGUUUUCACUCAGUUUUUAUGUCUAUAAUAGUGUUCAUCUCGGUGGGCUCUUUAGAUGGCUGGUAAUAUUAAGCUCAAUUCUUAAAUGUUCAUCAUUAUUUGAGUUAAAAUUGAAAUGUGGCAAUGAAAUAAAGAGUUUAGUUUUUAUAUUUA